rnacentral:rRNA from 1 species
AUUGAACGCUGGCGGCAUGCCUUACACAUGCAAGUCGAACGGUAACGGGCCUUCGGGUGCCCACGAGUGGCGAACGGGUGAGUAAUGUAUCGGAACGUACCUUUCAGUGGGGGAUAACGAAGCGAAAGUUACGCUAAUACCGCAUAUUCUGUGCGCAGGAAAGCAGGGGAUCGCAAGACCUUGCGCUGAUUGAGCGGCCGAUAUCAGAUUAGCUCGUUGGUGAGGUAAAGGCUCACCAAGGCGACGAUCUGUAGCGGGUCUGAGAGGAUGAGCCGCCACACUGGGACUGAGACACGGUCCAGACUCCUACGGGAGGCAGCAGUGGGGAAUUUUGGACAAUGGGGGCAACCCUGAUCCAGCCAUGCCGCGUGAGUGAAGAAGGCCUUCGGGUUGUAAAGCUCUUUCGGCCGGGAAGAAAUCGUAUCAGCUAAUACCUGGUGCGGAUGACGGUACCGGCAUAAGAAGCACCGGCUAACUACGUGCCAGCAGCCGCCGUAAUAC